rnacentral:misc_RNA from 1 species
UACGGAGGGUGCGAGCGUUAAUCGGAUUUACUGGGCGUAAAGCGUGCGUAGGCGGCUUUUUAAGUCGGAUGUGAAAUCCCGGAGCUUAACUUGAGAAUUGCAUUCGAUACUGGGAAGCUAGAGUAUGAGAGAGGAUGGUAGAAUUCGAGGUGUAGCGGUGAAAUGCGUAGAGAUCAGGAAGAAUACCGAUUGCGAAGGCAGCCAUCUGGCCUAAUACUGACGCUGAGGUACGAAAGCAUGGGGAUCAAACAGG